GCGGAGGAAAAGAAACUCACAAUGAUUCCCCCUAGUAACGGCGAGUGAAGCGGGAAGAGCUCAAAUUUGAAAUCUGGUAGCCUUCGGUUGCCCGAGUUGUAAUCUAGAGAAGUGUUUUCCGUGCCGGCCCAUGUACAAGUCCCUUGGAACAGGGCGUCAUAGAGGGUGAGAAUCCCGUCCUUGACAUGGACCCCCGGUGCUUUGUGAUACACUUUCAACGAGUCGAGUUGUUUGGGAAUGCAGCUCAAAAUGGGUGGUGAAUUCCAUCUAAAGCUAAAUAUUGGCGAGAGACCGAUAGCGAACAAGUACCGUGAGGGAAAGAUGAAAAGCACUUUGGAAAGAGAGUUAAACAGUACGUGAAAUUGUUGAAAGGGAAACGAUUGAAGUCAGUCAUGCUCUUAGGAUUCAGCCGUUCUGCGGUGUAUUUCCUUUGAGUGGGGUCAACAUCAGUUUUGAUCGAUGGAUAAAGGCACGAGGAAGGUAGCACUCUCGGGUGAACUUAUAGCCUCGCGUCAUAUACAUUGAUUGGGACUGAGGAACGCAGCAUGCCUUUAUGGCCGGGAUUCGUCCACGUACAUGCUUAGGAUGUGACAUAA
rnacentral:rRNA from 1 species